GACGUAGGGUGCAAGCGUUGUCCGGAAUUAUUGGGCGUAAAGAGCUUGUAGGCGGUUUGUCGCGUCUGCUGUGAAAUUUCGGGGCUCAACCCCGAACUUGCAGUGGGUACGGGCAGACUAGAGUGUGGUAGGGGAGACUGGAAUUCCUGGUGUAGCGGUGAAAUGCGCAGAUAUCAGGAGGAACACCGAUGGCGAAGGCAGGUCUCUGGGCCAUAACUGACGCUGAGAAGCGAAAGCAUGGGGAGCGAACAGG
rnacentral:rRNA from 1 species